GUCUACUAGUGGCAGGAAACAAUUUCUGGGAAUUAGCAAAAAUAAUAAACAUUUUAUUCCUGUGAUACACUAAGGCUAUGGUCCCCAAAUUUGGACAUGCACCACUUUGGAGGACACAGCAGCAUGGCAAGGAUAUGGUACUUCUGUGCUGAAAUACCUUUUGGAUCAACCUAGAAAUGGAGGGGCACAGGUCAGUAGCAGGAAAUCGUGGUCAAGAGCUUUAUGAAAAUUAUCCUAUUAGUAGAAUCGUGGGAAUAUUACAGAUGUGGAUUGGAAACAUUAUUAGCACCUACUUAAUAAAGGAGAAGUAAAGGAAAAUGA